CCCCCUUCCCAGGGCAGGUGACUGGCUCACAGCAGUGGGGAUAGGACAGAUUGAGCCCAACCCUUCAGUCUUAUGCCCCUGGACCCGCCGCUGGAGGUCACUUAUUCUCCAGAGUGGAUCCAAAGCUCUCAGGAUGGAUGAACCAAGAUAGGGGUAAUUUGAAAACAUAAGGCUGAAGGACACCAGUGUCAACUCAGGCCAUCUCCAGGAUGUUGAAGUCGGCAGGGGAGGGAGCAGGAUUUAACAGCUGGUGUCUAAGUGUCUUGGAACUCUUUGCAAGUGAGGGCCUGUGGACCAUGCGCGUGCCCAAAGGAGCGAGGAUGUGUGAAGUUUAGAACAUGCCUGGCUCUGAGAGUUACCACCCUCGCUGGGCCUGGCUUUCUCUCCCCGUGCUGUGGGUGUAAGCUGCCCUGCCUCCCGUGAGUGGGUAGCCAUGAGUCUCAGAUGUGGACCUGCUGUGAAUGCUGGAAAACACCGUAUGGAUCGGAGAGUACUGUCAUAAGAAAGACUCUCAAUUGUGAACUAAACUGAAUUGGACAAUAAUAAUAAACAAAAAGUAUAACAACA